rnacentral:rRNA from 1 species
GACGAACGCUGGCGGCGUGCUUAACACAUGCAAGUCGAACGGAAAGGCCCUGCUUUUGUUGGGUGCUCGAGUGGCGAACGGGUGAGUAACACGUGAGUAACCUGCCCUUGACUUUGGGAUAACUUCAGGAAACUGGGGCUAUUACCGGAUAGGAUCUCCUGCUGCAUGGUGUUGGUUGGAAAGUUUCGGCGGUUGGGGAUGGACUCGCGGCUUACCAGCUUGUUUGUGGGGUAGUUGCUUACCAAGGCUUUGACGGGUAGCCGGCCUGGGAGGGGGGACGGCCACAAUGGGACUGAGAGACGGCCCAGACUCCUACGGGAGGCAGCAGUGGGGAAUAUUGCACAAUGGGCGGAAGCCUGAUGCAGCAACGCCGCGUGCGGGAUGACGGCCUUCGGGUUGUAAACCGAUUUCGCCUGUGACGAAGCGUGAGUGACGGUAAUGGGUAAAGAAGCACCGGCUAACUACGUG